GACGUAGGGCGCGAGCGUUGUCCGGAUUUAUUGGGCGUAAAGAGCUCGUAGGCGGCUUGUUGCGUCGGCUGUGAAAUCCCGUGGCUUAACUGCGGUCUGCAGCCGAUACGGGCAGGCUGGAGUUCGGUAGGGAGACUGGAAUUCCUGGUGUAGCGGUGAAAUGCGCAGAUAUCAGGAGGAACACCGGUGGCGAAGGCGGCCUGCUGGGCAGUGACCGCAAGGUCUUAAAAGCUGACGCUGAGGCGCGACAGCGUGGGAGCAAACAGG
rnacentral:rRNA from 1 species